GACGAACGCUGGCGGCGUGCUUAACACAUGCAAGUCGAACGGAAAGGCCCUGCUUUUGUGGGGUGCUCGAGUGGCGAACGGGUGAGUAACACGUGAGUAACCUGCCCUUGACUUUGGGAUAACUUCAGGAAACUGGGGCUAAUACCGGAUAGGAGCUCCUGCUGCAUGGUGGGGGUUGGAAAGUUUCGGCGGUUGGGGUUGGACUCGCGGCUUAUCAGCUUGUUGGUGGGGUAGUGGCUUACCAAGGCUUUGACGGGUAGCCGGCCUGAGAGGGUGACCGGCCAAAAUGGGGAUGGGAUAAGGGCCAGACUCCUAAGGGGGGGAGGAGUGGGGAAUAUUGCCAAAUGGGCGGAAGGCCGAAGCAGGAAACCCCGGGGGGGGGUGACGGGCUUUGGGGUUGAAAACCCUUUUGGCCGGGAAGAAGGGUGAGGGAAGGGAAUGGGGAAAGGAAGCACGGGCAAACAAGGG
rnacentral:rRNA from 1 species